GAUUUAUAGGUGUUCCAUAUUAAUGGAACUUAAAAGGGAAAGUGGUGAGAUCCCACUACAGCCCCCGCUACUGUGAUUGGGUACGAAACCAGCAAAAGCCACUGGGAAACUGGGAAGGUGCUGGGAUUAGGAUGAUCCAUGAGUCAGGAUACCUGCCUAUAUU
rnacentral:ncRNA from 1 species